rnacentral:rRNA from 1 species
GACGAACGCUGGCGGCGUGCUUAACACAUGCAAGUCGAACGAUGAUGCUGGAGCUUGCUCCAGUUGAUUAGUGGCGAACGGGUGAGUAACACGUGAGCAAUCUGCCCUUGACUCUGGGAUAACUGCGGGAAACUGUAGCUAAUACCGGAUACUUUCACCGGAAGGCAUCUUCUGGUGAUGAAAGAAUUUCGGUCAGGGAUGAGCUCGCGGCCUAUCAGCUUGUUGGUGAGGUAACGGCUCACCAAGGCGACGACGGGUAACCGGCCUGAGAGGGGGACCGGUCACACUGGGACUGGGACACGGCCCCGACGCCUACGGGAGGCAGCAGUGGGGAAUAGUGCACAAUGGGCGCAAGCCUGAUGCAGCAACGCCGCGUGAGGGAUGAAGGCCUUCGGGUUGUAAACCUCUUUGAGCAGGGAAGAAGCGAAAGUGACGGUACCUGCAGAAAAAGCACCGGCUAACUACGUGCCAGCCGCCGCAGUAA